CAACUUGAGUUGUGGAUCACUUGGCUCAUGUGUCGAUGAAGAGUACAGCCAAAUGUGUGAAUUAAUGUGAACUGCAUACUGCUUUGAACAUCGACAUCUUGAACGCAUAUUGAAGCUACGUGAUAUCCUGUGGCCACACCUGUCCGAGGGUCG
rfam:Schistosoma mansoni strain Puerto Rico chromosome 1, complete genome